CCUACGGGUGGCAGCAGUCGAGAAUCAUUCACAAUGGGGGAAACCCUGAUGGUGCGACGCCGCGUGGGGGAAUGAAGGUCUUCGGAUUGUAAACCCCUGUCGUGUGGGAGCAAAUUAAAAAGAGAGUACCCCAAGAGGAAGAGACGGCUAACCCUGUGCCAGCAGCUCCGGUAAUACAGAGGUGUCAAGCGUUGUUCGGAAUCACUGGGCGUAAGGGGUGCGUAGGCUGUUUUGUAAGUCGUGUGUGAAAGGCGCGGGCUCAACCCGCGGACGGCACAUGAUACUGGGAGACUAGAGUAAUGGAGGAGGAUCCGGAAUGCGCGGUGUAGCAGUGAAAUGCGUAGAUAUCGAGAGGAACACUCGUGGCGAAGGCGGGUUCCUGGACACUAACUGACGCUGAGGCACGAAGGCCAGGGGAGCGAAAGGGAUUAGAUACCCUUGUAGUC
rnacentral:rRNA from 1 species